rnacentral:RNase_P_RNA from 1 species
UUAGGUCCGUUUUAAUGGCGGAGAGGAAAGUCCGGACGUCACAGGGCAGGAUUCCUCGCGAAAGCGAGGGAGGCUCGCUUCAAGGCGGGUCGACGGAUAGCGCCACAGAAAAUAUACCGCCACCUUCGCCAAGGCUUCGGCGGGCAGGCCCCGUUCAGGGGAUCUGUUUGGUGAAGGAGGCAAGGGUGAAAUGGUGGGGUAAGAGCCCACCGCCGCUUCGAGCAAUCGAGCGGGCAGGGCAAGCCCAAUCCGACGCAAGACAAAAUAGGGGGCAGAGCGGCCCGCUCGCCAAUGCCCCGGGUAUGUCGCGCCUUUUUCGAAAGGGGCUCGCACUUUGCGAGUCAGAUAAAUGAACGCGGUUCCGCCUCGGCGGUCCACAGAAUCCGGCUUAUCGGCU